rnacentral:rRNA from 1 species
UAACCUGCCUUAUAGUGGGGGAUAGCCUUUCGAAAGGAAGAUUAACACCGCAUAAGAUUGUAGUAUCGCAUGAUAUAGCAAUUAAAGGAGCAAUCCGCUAUAAGAUGGACCCGCGUCGCAUUAGCUAGUUGGUGAGGUAAUGGCUCACCAAGGCGACGAUGCGUAGCCGACCUGAGAGGGUGAUCGGCCACAUUGGGACUGAGACACGGCCCAGACUCCUACGGGAGGCAGCAUG